rnacentral:lncRNA from 1 species
GGUUUCUGAGCUCUAACCAGAAAGUGAGCGGUUGAGUUGCUUCUUUUCCUUUCCUCUUCUGCUGCUUCUUAUUCUCCCGGUUUACAUGUAUAUAUGUACAUAUAUGUAAAGGGUGAAGCUAUACCAAGUCAACGAAGUCCCCACCAUCCUCUGUCAUUCCCCACGUACAAAAUUCAACUUCCCGGAUUCUGAACGUACAUAUAUUAUUACAUCAUUUCAUGCAUUAUUUCACCUUACCUAU